CAUGUCACAGUCAAGAUAGCCAUGAUAUACAGAAUAUCACCAUACAAUUUCAGAAGGUUUUAAGCAUUGCCCAUUCAGAGUAACAUCAUAUCACAUCUGAAGGCUUCAAGCACCUGCCCAUACAGAGUAACAUCACUUCAGAAGGCUGCAAGCAUCUGCUGGUCUUGUCCUUCAACACAAGCUUUUGUAUGCCUCAUCUUACAUGCAUUGAUUGCACCUGUGUUUCCCUUUGGUGAUUGCUCAGUGCACCUCAGCACUCCAUGUCUCAUACCUUCAAUACUGGUCACCUGUCCUGCACAGCUGUAGCCCAUCAGGGAUGAGGCUUGGCUGCAGCCCCACUCCCAAUUACCACAAACUGUGUGCCUACAAUAGCUACGUACGAACAUAUCAGCACAAUCAGGCCCUCUCUAUGCUCGUAAAUUUUCCAUGGACAAUAUCUGGAAAGUAUGAUAUCAGAGCCGACCAUGGUUGGGCCACUAUUCUUCAGUGCUCCGGAGUCUGUCUUCCUUCCUCAUCCUCAUUGUAAAAGAGACCUGAGACAGCAGCACUGACACCAAUGGCUUGGAGGCUGUAGAGCUGAUACUAUCUGGAAUCCACCAGAUGAGGUUUAGCAGAUUGUUCAGUUCCGAAGUUCCAGCCACCAAAAUGUGUCAGCUGCCUUUGUUGACAAAGCUGCCACUGCCAGGAAGAUUGAGGGGGCAUUUGAGUUUGGACUCCAGGUAACUGAAGGGCUCAGAAGCAGAAGAAUGUUGCAUUUGCAAAACACUUCAGAACAUAUAAAUACACUGAAGAGAGAUUCAUAAAAUCAGAUCUUGCUGCACCACUACCACAAGCCUGGUUUGCUGAUGCCUUGUAAGAUGGGCCCCUGAACUUGUAUCUGAGCAGAUGCUAAAUGGAUAAAGGUGAAGAGAAAGAAUAUAACAUGGAUGUAGUUUUAUUAUCCUCCGUUUUCUUGUACACAACUGUUUCACACAGCUCUUUGCCACUAUGUAAUCCUAAUUAGGCUGCCAGUCCUAAUAUUCUGACCUUUCUGAGUCAUUAUUACAAUUAGUUCAAUAUAUAAAACCAUAAAAAAACUUAUUAGAUAAGUAACUCCAUUUUUCAACCUUACCAAAGCACCUAUUCUCUAACUGCCCUGCCCUCCUUCCACACUGUGUCUCCCACAUUCUUCUAGCCCCACCUUUUUCACACCCCUAUGUUGGCGGUUACUGUUUCCCCUUUGCAUAUCACCCUGGUGUGUACACCUGUUCCCCGUUCUCUUUCAGCAUGGUGGCAUUCUCUUACUAAAUCAUGAGAUUAUAGUCACAAUUGUAAAUAAUGCUCAAGAGAAGCUAAAUAAGUUUCAGAAAAUUAUCCCUCCUGUCAGAGAUAAAUUGGUGUAGUAUAGGAAUUAAAGUGACUUCAAGUUGCUGAUAGUAGUAAUUAUAUCUGUUCAAGUGAUAAUCCAAUGUUGUUUCUCCAUAGGAACCUGGAGCUUUUACUUUGCAGUAAAGGGACUGUAUUUAACACUUGCAGAGGAAACAAGCACUUCACUUUGCAAUGCUUCCAUUUUUAACAUUGUAAAUAAGUAGUUGAGUCAGUGAAGAAUCAAGAGACAAGUAUCACCUGUUAUGGGGGCUUAAUGUGUCUACUUUGUGCAAAGACCAGUGUCUAUAUAUAUUCAAAAAUC